UCCGGAGGGUGCAAGCGUUAUCCGGAUUCCCUGGGUUUAAAGGGUGCGUAGGCGGAUAUGUAAGUCCGUGGUGAAAUCUCUGGGCUUAACCCGGAAACUGCCAUGGAUACUAUGUGUCUUGAAUGUUGUUGAGGUGAGCGGAAUAUGUCAUGUAGCGGUGAAAUGCUUAGAUAUGACAUAGAACACCAAUUGCGAAGGCAGCUCACUAAGCAAAUAUUGACGCUGAGGCACGAAAGCGUGGGGAUCAAACAGG
rnacentral:rRNA from 1 species